rnacentral:ncRNA from 2 species
CUAAGGUGAUAACACUUCGGCAAUAGCCGGAGGGCAAAACAUUCAGCGAAGUCCGGUGAGAUUCCGGCACUGUCCCGCAACGGUAAUGCAGAUACUCCAAUGUUUAUUGGGGUAAUUGCAAGUCCGGUCGCCUAAUGCGUAGCUUCAUC